AGCAAAAACAAAAACAAGAACAAAAGAGCAUUAGUAACUUCAGCAGAAAUAGCGUAAAUUAUUAUCUAAACAUAAGAACCAUAAAUAAAAUAGCAUGCAAUAAUAUCAGACAGUAGCUACCAUAAAUAACUACCAUAAGGGGGACACAAUCCAAUACACAAGUCAUCUAUGGAUAUCCCUGCCAAGCCUCACCCAACCCCGGGUGAGGAGUACGAAAAA
rnacentral:lncRNA from 1 species